UACGUAGGUGGCAAGCGUUGUCCGGAUUUAUUGGGUUUAAAGGGUGCGUAGGCGGCCUUGUAAGUCAGUGCUGAAAUAUCCCGGCUUAACCGGGAGGGUGGCAUUGAUACUGCAGGGCUUGAGUAAAGUUGAGGUUGGCGGAAUUGACGGUGUAGCGGUGAAAUGCUUAGAUAUCGUCAAGAACACCGAUAGUGAAGACAGCUAACUAAGCUUUAACUGACGCUGAGGCACGAAAGUGUGGGGAUCAAACGGG
rnacentral:rRNA from 1 species